rnacentral:piRNA from 1 species
UCCNGUUGCCCCUUGAGUAAGCCCUUCGCC